rnacentral:rRNA from 1 species
AAAAUGCUCGGAUGAGCUGUGGAUAGGGGUGAAAUGCCAAACGAACCUGGAGAUAGCUGGUUCUCGCCGAAAUAACUUUAGGGUUAGCGUCAUGCGAGACGACUUGCGGGGGUAGAGCACUGAAUGAGGUAGGGGGCUAACGCCUACCGAACUCAAUCAAACUCCGAAUACCGCGGGUAAUGCAUGGCAGUCGGACUACGGGAGAUGAGUUUCGUGGUCGAGAGGGGAAGAGCCCAGACCGACAGAUAAGGUCCUGAAGUGGUGGCUAAGUGGGAAAGGAUGUGGAGUUACUUAGACAGCCAGGAGGUUGGCUUAGAAGCAGCCAUCCUUGAAAGAGUGCGUAAUAGCUCACUGGUCUAGUGAUUCUGCGCCGAAAAUAUAACGGGGCUCAAGCCACCCACCGAAUCUUCGGGUUUUCGCAACUCUACGGAGUUGCAAAGCAGUAGGCGAGCGUUCCAUUCUGCAUUGAAGCGGUACCGUAAGGAGCCGUGGAGCGGAUGGAAGUGAGAAUGUUGGCACGAGUAGCGUAAACGAUGUGAGAAUCAUCGUCCCCGUAAAUCUAAGGUUUCCGACGGAAGGUUGAUCCGCGUCGGGUGAGUCGGGCCUAAGGCGAGGCCGAAGGGCGUAGCCGAUGGACAACAGGUUAAUAUUCCUGUACCGCGUUAGAUCGUUUGAGCGAAGGGGUGACGGAGUAAGGUAGGUCAGCCAGCCGUUGGUCGUGCUGGUUCCAGGCCUGUAGGCGUUGAGAGUGGGGUUAAAAGACCACUCGAGCUGAGGGGUUACGGCGAGCCUGUAAAAGGGUGGAAGUGACUGAGCCUAUGCUUUCAAGAAAAGCCUCUAGUUAGAUCUGCGUGACCGUACCGUAAACCGACACCGGUGGAUGGGUAGAGUAUACCGAGGGGAUCGGGAGAACCUCUGUUAAGGAAUUAGGCAAAUUAGAUCCGUAACUUCGGGAGAAGGAUCGCCUUUGUAGGGUGAAGUCAACUAGCUUGGCGGAGCCUGAAGAGGCCGCAGAGAAAUGGCUCUAGCGACUGGUUACCAGAACCACAGGUCUGUGCGAAGUCGUAAGACGAUGUAUACAGGCUGACGCCUGCCCAGUGCCGGAAGGUUAAGGGGAGCGGUGCAAGCUGCGAACUGAAGCCCCGGUGAACGGCGGCCGUAACUAUAACGGUCCUAAGGUAGCGAAAUUCCUUGUCGGGUAAGUUCCGACCCGCACGAAAGGCGUAACGACUGGAGCACUGUCUCAACAGAGGACCCGGUGAAACUGAAAUAGGAGUGAAGAUGCUUCUUACCCGCAGCAGGACAAAAAGACCCCGUGGAGCUUUACUGUAGCCUGACAUUGGGUUAGGACUUAUCUUGUGUG